rnacentral:rRNA from 1 species
AGUGAACGCUGGCGGCAGGCCUAACACAUGCAAGUCGAACGGCAGCACAAGAGAGCUUGCUCUCUGGGUGGCGAGUGGCGGACGGGUGAGGAAUGCAUCGGAAUCUGCCCAUUUGUGGGGGAUAACCUCGGGAAACCGGGACUAAUACCGCAUACGACCUACGGGUGAAAGCAGGGGAUCUUCGGACCUUGCGCAGAUGGAUGAGCCGAUGCCGGAUUAGCUAGUUGGAGGGGUAAAGGCCCACCAAGGCGGCGAUCCGUAGCUGGUCUGAGAGGAUGAUCGGCCAACCUGGGACUGAGGCACGGCCCAGACUCCUACGGGAGGCAGCAGUGGGGAAUAUUAGACAAAGGGCGCAAGCCUGAUCCAGCCAUGCCGCGUGUGGGAAGAAGGCCUUCGGGUUUUAAAGCACUUUUGUUUGGAAAGAAAAACAACCGGGUAAUACCCCGUUGUCAUGACGGUACCCAAAGAAUAAGCACCGGCUAACUUCGUG